UUAAAAUAAAUCAGGGUGUUAUCAAAGUGGCUAUAGUUGUACUUUUGAAUUUUAGUUUAGUUGUACUUAGUUAUUUGAACUCUAUAAUAUCAAAAAUAUUCUUACACUUUCAAGUUGUUUCAAUUGGCCAUAAUUUUUGUGAUAUUUUUUUAACUAAUGUUAGUCAUUAGAUCCUAAAGAAUUCAUGUUUACAAAAAAAAAAAAAAAAUUCCCUCCAAAUGCCAAGUAAAAUCUACAUCGUUUUUUUGACUUUUUAAAAGCUUAGACAGUUUAUUUGCAGUUCAGAAAAAUCCGCUAUAUUUUUUUCAAAAAGAAAAAUUAAUAAUAACUUAAUUAGAUGAAAAAGGGACUAAAUAAAGCAAUAAAACUGCUACAUGUAUAUCUAUAAAAAAAUAGGUGUAACUUUUAUACCCAAACUAUUUAAUAAUUGGAUGAUCACUUUAUCUAUAAAUCUAUAAUCUAUCAUCUAUAAAUCUAUAAAUCUAUAAUCUAUCAUCUAUAAAUCUAUAAAUUAUUAUUAAUUUUCGUAGGAUUCAAAUCCUUCCCGUAUUUCAGGGAAAAAAUGGGUCUCACCCCUUCUCUUAACUUACAGAAUAAUUUUUUUAAAAUAAAAACUACUUUCUCUCUCGUGUCGUUUUCUUCUAAAACUCUUCCGAUUCUCCCUUCUCUCAAUCCUAUCCGUCCCUUCCUCUCCUCUCUCUCUCUCUUAAUUUAUUUUUUUAUUCGUCCGUCUGUUUACCUUCCCUCUCCCAAUCUUUUAUAUUCACACAUUCACCUUAAUGCUUCCCUCCUCUUCCCUUCCCUCCCGUCUCCCAUCCCAUUCCCUCCCUUCUCCUCCCUCCUCAUCCAUACCUUCCCCAAACAACUCUUCUCCCUCUCUGACCUCGCGCUAAUGUGCACCCUCCUCACUUCCCUUGACCACCUUCGUCGUCGCAGCAACAGCCUCCUCGGGUGCCACGUCUGGGCCAUGGGGCCCCUCAAGCCCACUGAGCCCUCGGGCGCCAUGCAACGAGGUGAGGAGGAGCUUCUCUUAACAGGGCCAUGGCGACGGAGUAGCGCGAGCUCGGCAACACGGGGCUAAGGCUUAGCUACGUCAGUUUUAGCGCCUCUUAGCAAUGUAUUCGGCCGCGUCUCUCCCAUCGCUGUCGUCACCGCCGUGCGCCACACCUUCGACCUCGGGGUCAACUUCUUCGACACCUCCCCGUCCGUAUCCCUAACUCUAGCCCUAGAUCUCCUUCUUUGUACGAGCUUCGAGGUUCGAUCUUGAUGCGUGGCAGGUACUAUGGGGGGUAGGUGUUGGAGGCUAUGCUCGGCGAGUGCCUUAGGGAGAUCGGGGCGCCGUGAGAGGAGAUCGUCGUCUCCACCAAGUGCGAGCGCUACACCGAUGAGUUCAUCUUCUCUAAAUUAGUUGGAUUUCGUAGAUGUGACUGAGGGCAAAGUUGAUAAGUAAACAACGGAGUUCAUUCCAAGCAAUGGAUUUUGACCCCUAAUUGAUUUGCUUUAUUCUCUGAUUGCAAAUCAAUUAAGUUUCUACGUAUGCUUCGGGAGCCAGUACGCCCUGUCUGCAUAAGUCAAAACAAAGCAUAUUAAGGGAAAAGAGAAAAUAAUACUGCAUGUAAUAUCUUAUAACAGUUAUUGUUGCACAUGCAUGCUCUCUCUGUACGAUGGGAGAAGGAACGCUGUAAUGGACAGGAGAAGAAGCAACAACGCGCGGAGGGGGAGUUGAGAGCAAAUUCUCUCUUUUGUACAAAAAAUCAAAAUAGAGAGUGCAGUGGUUCGGUUUGAUUUAGAGGUUUAGGUAGUGAGCGGUUCGGUUCGGUUCGGUUCAGAAGUUCAGAAAGAGGCGGUUCAUUGGUUCGGUUCAGAUGUGUAGAGACACAAUGAGCGGAGUGUAAUUCAAUAUUUCUUCAAUAUUUCUAUACCUGUGGGGCAAAUUAAUUAGUAUACAUAGGCCCUACUAAUUAGAAGUGAUCAUUUGAAGUUAUAAAGAAUUUGCCUGCUUUAGCUUGGGUAUUAAGAUAGCACAUAUGCAAGUGAAGCGUUUUAUCGAAUAUCUCCACGAAACAGGAAAUUUAGGAUGUGUAGAAGCCAUUUUAGCUCCUCUCAAUUUUAGGCCAGUAUUGAGCAAAAGAAUGAGAGACAAAUUCGCUGCAGUUGGCAUACUCCAGACUUUAAUUAAGGAAGUAAUUGCCGGGCUGAAAGAAGUUUACAGAGCUCUACAAAUGCAGAUGCAAUGUUCGACGUAGGUCUAUUACUUUUUUUGGUAGUUUCCGAGUGCAAAU